rnacentral:rRNA from 1 species
AACCAGCACCUCAAGUGGUCAGGAUGAUUAUUGGGCCUAUAGCAUCCGUAGCCGGCUCUGUAAGUUUUCGGUUAAAUCUGUACGCUCAACGUACAGGCUGCCGGGAAUACUGCAGAGCUAGGGAGUGGGAGAGGUAGACGGUACUCGGUAGGAAGGGGUAAAAUCCUUUGACCUAUUGAUGACCACCUGUGGCGAAGGCAGCUAUCUGGGAUACAACUGACGCUGAGGUACGAAAGCGUGGGGAGCAAACAGG